rnacentral:lncRNA from 1 species
UUGUUGUUAGGAGCUAUCUCUUUAUUUUCGUCUUUCUUGGAUAUUUAUUUGAUUUUUUUUUACUUUAGAACAUAUUUACCUUAUUCGUCACAGGUCUAUUAUUAAUGAUUUAAAAAUGGAACACACGGUUUUAACUUUAAUUUCUAUGGCCUUAGCAACGUGUGUUUGUUUUUGUACAGCUAUGAUUUCAAAUGAAAAUGAAAGUUUACUCUGAAAUUCAUUAUUG